ACGUAGGGGGCGAGCGUUAUUCGGAAUUACUGGGUGUAAAGGGUAUGUAGGCGGCCCUUCAAGUCGCGUGUCAAAGUCCAGUGCUCAACGCUGGGCGUGCACGCGAUACUGACGGGCUUGAGUGCUGCAGAGGUGAGCGGAAUUCCCGGUGUAGUGGUAAAAUGCGUAGAGAUCGGGAGGAACACCAGCGGCGCAGGCAGCUCACUGGACAGUUACUGACGCUAAGAUGCGAAAGCGUGGGUGGCAAACAG
rnacentral:rRNA from 1 species